UACAGAGACUGCAAGCGUUAUUCGGAUUCACUGGGCGUAAAGGGUGCGCAGGCGGCCAAGUGUGUGAGGCGUGAAAGCCUGGGAGCUUAACUCCAGAAUUGCACCUCAAACUACAUGGCUAGAGCAUUGGGAGAGGGUAGCGGAAUUCACGGUGUAGCAGUGAAAUGCGUAGAUAUCGUGAGGAACACCAGAGGCGAAGGCGGCUACCUGGACAAUUGCUGACGCUCAGGCACGAAAAGCGUGGGGAGCAAAAGGG
rnacentral:rRNA from 1 species